AGGGGUGUCGCCAAGCGGUAAGGCACGGGACUUUGACUCCCGCAUUCGUUGGUUCAAAUCCAGCCACCCCUGCCA
rnacentral:tRNA from 1 species